CCUACACGACCGUACCGCAAACCGACACUGGUGCGCGAGAUGAGUAUUCUAAGGCGCUUGAGAGAACUCAGGAGAAGGAACUCGGCAAAUUGACACCGUAACUUCGGAAGAAGGUGUGCCUUUAGUAGGUGAACCUGUACAAGGGGAGCCCAAUGAGGUUGCAAAAAAUCGGUGGCUGCGACUGUUUAAUAAAAACACAGCACUCUGCAAACACGAAAGUGGACGUAUAGGGUGUGACGCCUGCCCGGUGCUGGAAGAUUAAAUGAUGGGGUGCAAGCUCUUGAUUGAAGUCCCAGUAAACGGCGGCCGUAACUAUAACGGUCCUAAGGUAGCGAAAUUCCUUGUCGGGUAAGUUCCGACCUGCACGAAUGGCGUAACGAUGGCCACACUGUCUCCUCCUGAGACUCAGCGAAGUUGAAAUGUUUGUGAUGAUGCAAUCUCCCCGCGGAAAGACGGAAAGACCCCAUGAACCUUUACUGUAGCUUUGUAUUGGACUUUGAACAGAUCUGUGUAGGAUAGGUGGGAGGCUUUGAAGUGUGGUCGCUAGAUCGCAUGGAGCCAACGUUGAAAUACCACCCUGGUGUGUUUGAGGUUCUAACCUAGGCCCGUAAUCCGGGUCGGGGACAGUGCAUGGUAGGCAGUUUGACUGGGGCGGUCUCCUCCCAAAGCGUAACGGAGGAGUUCGAAGGUACGCUAGGUACGGUCGGACAUCGUGCUAAUAGUGCAAUGGCAUAAGCGUGCUUAACUGCGAGACUGACAAGUCGAGCAGAUGCGAAAGCAGGACAUAGUGAUCCGGUGGUUCUGUAUGGAAGGGCCAUCGCUCAACGGAUAAAAGGUACUCUGGGGAUAACAGGCUGAUACCGCCCAAGAGUUCAUAUCGACGGCGGUGUUUGGCACCUCGAUGUCGGCUCAUCUCAUCCUGGGGCUGUAGCCGGUCCCAAGGGUAUGGCUGUUCGCCAUUUAAAGAGGUACGUGAGCUGGGUUUAAAACGUCGUGAGACAGUUUGGUCCCUAUCUUCCGUGGGCGCUGCAGAUUUGAGGAAGCCUGCUCCUAGUACGAGAGGACCGGAGUGGACACACCUCUGGUGUAUCGGUUGUCACGCCAGUGGCAUUGCCGAGUAGCUAUGUGUGGAAGAGAUAACCGCUGAAAGCAUCUAAGCGGGAAACUCGUUUCAAGAUGAGAUCUGCCGGGGCCUUGAGCCCCCUAAAGAGUCGUUCAAGACCAGGACGUUGAUAGGUCGGGUGUGGAAGCGCAGUAAUGCGUUAAGCUAACCGAUACUAAUUGCUCGUGCGGCUUGACCAA
rnacentral:rRNA from 1 species